CCACAAUUAGGUUUUGAGCCUGGAAGGCAUGUCCGGCUGCAUAUUGACCCGAACGAGAAAAACCUUGCUCCACCAAACGUGAAUGCAAAUGCUUUUGUAUCACAGUCGCCUUUUUCAUCUCAUCAAUUACAAGGGAAUACUUCUGGGUCACUUAAUUCUGAUUUGGCUCAUACAAGUAACUCUCAACCUCCUGCACUUUUAAAGUCGCACUCACAGGUGAAUCCUUAUGGAAAUAUUAAAACUAAUGUUCCAAAUACCAACUGGAAUGGAUCACCCAGCAAAAACUUCAAAAUAGACCAACACGAGGGGGGUUUAAAGGAGGAUUCCAGAAGUCUAAAUUUAAUGAUGUGAAUAAUGGAAAGCGCAGAACUGGGUUUCUUAAAGAUCAUAAUGGAAGAGGUUUGAACUUUUCUACCUUGUUACCCAGAUGAAAUAUUUUCUAUGGUUAGGCUAAUGUUGUGAUGGAAACAAGCCCUUACAGUGGGAGGGCAGCACAUGAUAGUGUAAGAUCAAAGGA